UACAGAGGGCGCAAGCGUUGUUCGGAUUCAUUGGGCGUAAAGGGCGCGUAGGCGGCGCGGUAAGUCGGGUGUGAAAUCUCGGAGCUUAACUCCGAAACUGCAUUCGAUACUGCCGUGCUUGAGGACUGGAGAGGAGACUGGAAUUUACGGUGUAGCGGUGAAAUGCGUAGAUAUCGUAAGGAAGACCAGUGGCGAAGGCGGGUCUCUGGACAGUUCCUGACGCUGAGGCACGAAGGUCAGGGGAGCAAACGGG
rnacentral:rRNA from 1 species